rnacentral:rRNA from 1 species
UACGAAGGGGGCUAGCGUUGCUCGGAUUUACUGGGCGUAAAGGGCUCGUAGGUGGCCAACUAAGUCAGACGUGAAAUCCCUCAGCUUAACUGGGGAACUGCGUCUGAUACUGGAUGGCUUGAGUUUGGGAGAGGGAUGCGGAAUUCCAGGUGUAGCGGUGAAAUGCGUAGAUAUCUGGAGGAACACCGGUGGCGAAGGCAGCCUUCUGGGCCAACACUGACGCUCAUGCACGAAAGCGUGGGGAGCAAACAGG